CAGCCCGCUCCGGCAUUGCAGGAACAUAAUAUUGGAGUCACAAGAGCUGCUGGCUGUGGGGCAGGAGCAUAUAAAAAAGCAUGUCGAAAAUGUUUUUAUAAUCACUCUCAUCUAAGAGUAUACACGUGGUCUGCCCUGGAAGUAAGCUCCUGUAGCCAACAAACCCAUACACUGGUCUACACGUAGUCAUUCAUAAAACCAACGGCACUUUUAACAGGCAAACUCAGGCUAUCUCCCUAUCUAGCUCUCUUAUAUCUAUUAUCUUUAUCUAUUUCUUUAUUAACCCUUCUAUCUAUUCUGUGUACUUGUCUAUAUUAACCUGUGUUUGUUAUUCUGUUUGUCAGUCUGUCUGUAAUCCCUUUUUCCAUCAUGCCACGUGGGUCUACAAAAAAGACAUGUCCCUUCUGUCUGGGCAUUUUAUUUUGUGCUCAGAAGAUCUGUGCACAUUGCCUUAAGGAGCAGCCGAGAAAGCAGCGCCUUGAGAAGAAGCUCAAGAUGUUUGAUGAGAAGCGAGAGGAUUGGGUGUCUGGGCGGAAGAAGAACAACAACAUUGGGUCCAUCAAGGAUGAAGCCAUUGUCUUGCUUGAGAAACUCCAUGCCAUUGGCUUUAAACCAGUGCUGCUGCUUUGCAAGAAAACCAAGAAGAAGGAAAAGAAAUGUGAAAUACUAACCCCUCGCUGCACACUGAACGCCUAUGCCCAGGACUACCUUGAGAAGAUAGGCACUUCUUAUGAGUUCCUUUGUAAAGGUUGGACACAGGACUCCACUGGCCAGGGGGUUAAGGAAGAUCCUGUUGAAGAGAGAGUCACGCUGAAGCUCACACCCUGUGACCCAUCGGAACCAACAAACAACUGGCAGGAGGCAGGGACCACUGAGAGCCAGGUGCUGGAGACGAGCACCGUGCAGGUGGAGGUGCUAAAGACCCCCCCCCGUGAAGCAGUGCACCACCACAGAUGUGGGGCAGGAGGAGCAGUCCCAGCAGGAUAUGGAGGUUGAGCAAGCUACAGAAGAUGUGACACGGGCUACCACCACGGAGGGGCCAGGCUCAGCAGUGGUAUGGCCAUUCAAACAAGCAUCCCAUUUUAGGACUGAGAGCAGCUUGGUUCCAUUUCAAUGAUGUUUCCACUUUUGACCAGUGAUGACAGUGUGAUCACUAUUCAUCGUAUUGCUCCUACCACACUCACCUAGAAGCUUUCCCCAUCAGGAGUGUAAUAAGAGAAAGAAUGAGAAAGGUUUGACAGGAAUACAAGUAAUGCAUAGGGUGUGCUUUAUGAUUUACAAACUUCCACCACAAUUGUUUGCUAAAUAUUUAAUAUGUGUUUGGUCUUUCCGAAAUUAGAGAUUUGUUUUCUUCUCUUGAUAGGGAGAAGCAGAAAUGUUGGUGGAUUGGGAGCCCUGUCCAGUAUGGUAUAUAUAUCUUCCAGUUACCUGGCUUCAUGUCAUCUGAUGUAGUCCCAUGUUGGAGAACAAACACAUGAUAUUUAACAAAUGCAAAACAUCCAAAUCUACCACCAGUCCUCUUAUAUAUUUCACUGUUAUUCUGAAUCAGCUGAAGUAGUGUAGGAACAAAUGAUUGGUUUAUUCAUUGUUGUUAAUGUAUGUAUGUAUUUUUGUUUGUUUGUUUGAAAAUGUGUUUUAAUUUCUACGUUCACUUUUUCUAAAUGGUGGUGGUUGUUAAUAAAUGGAAAAUGAAACAUUUACUGAUAUAAAUUGAGUUAUAAGAUGAUGUGUGCUUCACACAUGGUUUCUGCUUUUUGGAAAGACGAAACAAGGACCUGUAUCUAACAUUAUUCCAUUCUGUUUUCAGUGGAAAGGAGUGGGCUCAUUCCUGGCAGUUGAAGAAUUCUCUGGAAUAACGCAAACAAAUAAAAUCUAUUAUUUGAACUCCAA